AAUGUGCCGGGAGCCGUUUCCCAGCGGGGCUCGGGUGGUUUUGUAACAGUUAUAAGGAGGAGGUGUUGGGGAAAGCUGAGCUUGAGAUUUCCCGCGUUUGGUGCUUUUGCGGCGGUCUGUGUGGAGGCACGAGCGGGGCUGGUCUUCUGUUGUCCCCUAGCCUGCUGGGGGCUCGGGAUGCUCUUCCAGUCGAUGAUGGAGAAAAUGAAAAUCGGAGCCCUGUGGGAAAAUGCUGCUUCUUUAAAAUCCACCCAUCCUGAUGAUCCUGAGGAAUUAUUUCACUAAACAGACAAGAACAGCGAUAGAACAUCUACUUCAAAAGCGUUUGGUUGUAGGGCCAUGUCAUCCUUGAAGACGCUACUGGUGGAAUUAAUCACUUCUCCAUAUACCAGAGCACUGACAUCCUGAGUUUGUUACAUCAAAGGAUAUUGACUGAGAAGACAAAUAAUCAAAUGACCCGUAACGCAGUUUUACAAUUCCUGCAUUAGUCCUGUGCAAGCCCUGCUCCGAUCUAACUGUGGCCACUGAGACAGAACAGAUCUUAACGUGCUUUGACGGUCUCGUCUACUGAUUCAUGCUAUAUGAGCAAGAGGGCUAGGAGAAACAAGCUCUUUACCAGCUACCACAAAUGAAACAGCAUGCUCCAUUAACGUAAGUAAGCUUGUGUCUAGGCUCAUCAUGUUGUCUGAGUGUUGAGAAUGGCACUUACUGGAAUGGGAGUUGGGUAGAAAAUUCCCCUAUGUUUUCAUUGAAUUGAAGCCUUUUUAAAAAAAUUGACUUUUGAAGAAUACAAACUAGGGUUAUGUUGACAAAUUUAUUUCUGGCUUGUUCUCAUUUCUUUUGAUAUUAUUUUGUCAUGUAUCUGUGUGGCCUUUGUAUAAACCAAAUCAAACUGGAAUGGCUGUCCAGUGCUUUUACUGUAUUAUUAUAUCAAACUUAGUCUUGAGCCCUAAAGUUAAAUCAGCAAUAUGCUUUCACCCUAUUAAGAAUAAACCAGGAUGAAGUUUCGUCAUCGUGUGUAAUACAAGCCUUAUCUGUCAUCUUUAACAUCUCAUAAAUUGCCUUUAAAUUCCAUAAAAAUCCUCUUACAAUGCAGCAGAUGAUUUGAUUCCACAAUGUGCUUAAUUUUAAGUGUGCGCACAGAUCAAUCCCUACUCAGCAAAACUCUUUUCUACAUGCUUAUAUAGCCAAAGCACCUAACAGUUAAGUGCAUAAAGUUGAACACACUAGUAUUUUGUUCAGGAGCACGCAGCUAGAAGAAUAAAGGUCAAACCUGAGCACUCCUACUAAGGAUUUAAGGACAACAAAUAAAUUCUGUUCUUCAGUUAAGACUGGCAAAUACGGUGCAUUGAAGGAAGCUCUGAAGAAAAAUGGUGUGGAGAAAAACAAGAAGGGCACCCUGACUGUGCAGUUUUUAUGACAGCGUGUCGUUCAUUUUCACAUUUAACUUCCUAGUAAAUGGACAAUAAGAAGCCACUUACAAACUAUUACAAUGUAUUAAGCCAACUAAUCCGUGCUGAAAGCCUCAUAGUUUUGCAUCUUAAAAUGUAAACUGUAAUGACAGAGCAAUUAGGUAAUGUAACCACUCUUAGAACGCAGAUCAAAAGAGAUGAGUUAUUACAAAUCCCAUCAGCAACACCAUGCGAAGUCAAUUGCAGGGGGAAAAUUUUAAUUGAAAGCGAGGGCAGUACUUAGGCUGUAUUGAAAAAUGAAUAAACUUAUGUUUUGAUCUGUCUAGUUGUAAUCCUUUGUUUUAACAUCUCAUAAGUCUUCCACGGGGGACAUAGAGUGUUUUUACGCUGUCAUCACUUCUAAUAGAUAAAGCUGUGGUCAUUCAUUUGGAAGGGUUUUAUUCCUUUGUUUUGAUUGUUGCUUUCCCCAGUAGCUUCCAAAUCUGACACACGCUUUGAAUGUGCAGCUUUUUCGUGGUGAAUUCUUGUUAUGUGGAACUUACAAAAUGUGAGUUCUAUUUAGACAAUAUGUCUUGCUAACCUCAGAAAGUAUUAACAGAGCAUUAAAUGGGAAGUGAUUUGGUGACCAGAGUAGAAUCUAUCUUGACUCUUUUCUUUCUUUUGAAAUGUAGUGAACAGCCUGUUCUUGCUAGAGCUGAAAUGUCUAAAUCUUGGCACACUGCUAGAAAGAAGGAAAUCAAUGUGCAUUUACUAAUAGCCCUCCUGUCAGCUGUCAUGUGAAGUACCUUAUGUCCACUCUGAUGCAAGUACAUUGGUCAAGCUAUAUAUGCCAUAGCUAGACUAGGAAAAGGAGAAUGAACACACAGUGAAUUAAAAGAAAGGCAGCAGGGAAGGUGCAUACAAAAUAGCAAAGUAUUAAAUCAAGUUUAAGAUGACCCAGACUACUGUUACCAUUGUCUUUUUAGUAGUCCCCUUCACAUUCAUCUCCUUUCUUUUUUUUUUUUAAACUUCUUCCCUACUAAGCACGUUCUAUCCUUCUGCAGUCUUAGUAUAUCUAGGCUCCCCACCUUAGUUCUUGCUUCUGCACACUUAAUAAUGAUGGCCUGCUUUCCCUUCAAGCUCCUCUUAAUCCUUCCUGUUUCUUUUUUACCCUAAUUGUUUCGUGCCCUUUUCCACUAUCUUUUUUCAAUUAAUCCUCCAUGUUUCCUCUCACUCUUCUCAUUUCCCUUUCUCUGGACUCUUUUCACCCUCUUCCUUGCUGUUUUUUCUUUCUCUGCUCUUUUAUGUUGGGUCUUACUUCUUUUCUGCUACUUUACCAAGCUUCUGCAUCUUUUCCCAUCUUCUACUUAGCUGCUUUGUUCCUUUACCAGCCCAUAUAGGUUGUUAUUCCCUAUGCUUUUCUGCCACAAGAGCUGCUUGUUUUCCUCCUCUUUGCUGUAUCCCCUUUCUUCAGCAGAAAAUGCCACUGAAAUAUGGGACAGUGUUUAUCAGCACAGCAGUGGUGCAGAUGUGAUCUCUGUUUAUGUAGUCAUUUCCAUUUCAGCACAUGCAGCUUUUUACUACUAAUUCAUUUGAAGUUUGAAAUCUAUUGCUCUUGUAAAAUGCUAGAGUAUUUCAUUGUGGGGGAAAAGGACUGUCUGUGGAGGAAUUUUAACUUGCUAAAUCAAAAUCACAGUGUCAGACAUACAUAAAUAAUUAUUUAUACUAAUUGUCACUCUACGUUAUCUGGGAAAUAAUUCUUAAACAAUUGUGCCUGGCAUCCUUUUUGAUAUGUGAUAACUGUCAGGAACUGUACAUGCUCGUGUCAUUUUUUUAUUUUAAUGGAGCUGAAAGUGCUGGGAACAAAGGUCUACAGCUGAUGCAAAUCUUCAUCUGAUUAACACCAAGUUUGAAGUAUGUUGUGCGUGAGAGAAAAUGUACAGCCUUGUUUCACACAACUCAUAAGCAUACAUGGAGGAAUUCGUAGUUAAGAGUGAAAAGGAGGAAUUUGUAGUUAAGAGUGAAAAGGAAAAUACCCGUAUCUCCGAUGUUUUGGAAUUGACUAGGCUUGUAUCCAAUGGAUUGCAAACAUUCUUUGUAUGCAUUCGAACUGAGCAUUCAUAGAAUUUUAAGUGCAUUGCAGCAG